AGAACUGUGACCAAGGGCUGAGGUGUAGACAUUCUUUCUCAGAGAAACGUGGUGUAGACAUUGCACGGGUUGUCAGGACACACCAGCAAUUCCCCCACUACCUGUUUUGCUGUUGUGUCUGCCUUAUCAGGUUGUGGAACAGAUCUAAGCUUCGCCGUCUUAGGGCAGGGAUGCCUCAGCCAUAUUUGUUUAUUUAGCAGCCUGGAUUGGCUGCUUUUGAAGAAGGUCCCCUUGAAGAAUCUUGUCUGACUGUGAAAGGAGGGUCAAGAGUGGGUGGGGGUAGAUAAUGGGAAACGGGAGGGGAAGAACCAUCGUGUCCAGGUGCCAGCUGUCUCUCCUUUUGACCCCUUUAGCUAUACCUAUGAUUUUUAAGUGUGUAGCUAUGUAUGUGUGCAAGGCAUUCAUGUGUGUAAAUGUGGGUGUGCAUGUACAGUAUAGCAAGUGUAGAGGUCAGAGGCAACCACGGGUGUUGAUCGCCUCUUCCCGUCUUGUUCGAGACAAGGUCUCUUGUUAAUCCUCUCCCCCCACCAUCCUCCACUCCCCACAUGUGCCAGGUUAGUUGAUCUAGAAGCUUUCAAGGAUUUUCCUAUGUCUGUCCGCACUCCAAUCCUCCCUACCCCCAGUCUCCCCUCUCUUUCAUCAUAGGGAUGCACUAGGACUACAGAUGUAUGCUAUCAUAAUAGCUUUAUGCGGCUUCUGGGAUUUGAACUCUGGUACUUGUGCUUGCUGGGCAGAUGAUAUACCUGUUGAGUCAUUUUCUCAGCCCCAAUAUAUUCAGUGUAUGUGCUGUUCUUCAAGUACCUUGAAUAAAGUGGUUAAGUACAAUUACUUUCCUCCUAAGGGGGGCCAUGGUGAGUCUGAGUAGAAGAUUUUUGGACUCAGCCAAUAGAGAAUGGAUGAUAUUUAUAUUUAUAUUUAGAAAACUACACACAGCUGUCACUCACCUGUGAGACAGUAGUAUGGUCUUUGCCAUCAGCCUGUUAGUAACCAACAAAAACACUUCAUUCCUUUCUAUAUUGUGUAGACUCUAGGGUGCUCUUAAUCUGGAAUCCAGCAAACCCAACUGCAUUAAACACAAAGCAAUUACUUAUUACAGAAGUUUGCCAGCCCUCUCCUGAGUGAUGGGUACCAUUGCUCACCAGGACCUUUAUCCCAGAUAACAUUUAACAAAUGCUUCAUUUCAGACAGACUCUGAAUCAAAUCUCUCCCCAUCCAGAAUUGCCUGUAAAAUGCAGACCUUUUAGUUGGCUAACUGUAAAAAUAAACAGCACACUUGAUGAGGGUAUAGGUAACUAUUUAUUGUGGAAAGUACCUACAAGAGAAAUUGGCAACCCAGGUGAGUCAGCAGCUUUCAGAUACCAGACCAGAAGCCCGAAAGAAAAUGGAAGAAUACGAAAAUUAAUAAGCCAUGUUUUGUUAACCUCAUUCAAGAAGAAUUACAGGUAAUUCUUGUGUCAAGUGAUCACUAUGCUUGGUAACUUGCUGUAAACAUUGAACUCAAUGAGGAAUGAGUAAUUAUUCUAAGCAAGAAAUGUCAGGUUAUGUUUCUUCAAGCUUCUCACAGUUUUGCCAACUGAUCAUUAUAUUUUGUGAUUUUUUGUUAGUUUUCAUUGUCAGUUUUACACAACCUAGAGUGUCAGGGCGUGUCUGUGGGAGGGGUUGUCGUUAUGAUUGAUGUAGGGAUACCCAGCCCACUGUGGGUGGUACAAUUCCCUAGAUGAGGGAUCCUGAACUGUAUAAGAGUGGAGAAAUCAAAUUGGGCACAAAGAAGAGAGCAACUGAGUACCUAUGCAUUCAUAUAACCCUGUCCUUGAUUUUGGAUGUAAUAUGACCAGCUAACUGUCCUGGAACUCGAUCUGUAGACUCAGAGAGUCCUGUGUUGUAUAACAAAAGAGGGUGAGCAAGCCAUGAGGAGAAAACCAGUAAGCAGAGUUUCUCCGUGGUCUCUGAUCCCAUUCCUGCCUCCAGGUUCCUGCUUUGACUUUUAUGUGGAAGUGUAAACCAAAUAAAACCCUUUCCUCCCUAGGCUUUUAUCACAGCAAUGGAAAGCAAAGUAAGACAGCAAAGGCGGUUGUCAGGAUCAAUAACGUAUCUAGUGUUGCAUGGCAAGGGACAAAAAGAGGAAAAGGUUCUGAACUCCAUCUCUGAUCCAAAAUUCCCAUUUAAUUUAAUUAUUUAAUUUAAACCAGUUCAUAGUUCUCCAUUUCAUAUGAAGUCUACACUGCCUGACUUACCCAUGGAGUCAAUAGUCUCGCUACUGAUGGAAGCAGAUUAGCAGACAACUGUAUCACAUGAGUCCCAGAAGGGGUAGCCUGAGAUGAAAGGGGUGCCUCUGCCCCUUGUGUUUGGCUAGCCCAAUGCUUUCACUUGCGUUGCUAUGUCACAGGUCCUUGUAACAUCCCCAGAAAUUCCUCCCUGGAAUUUUAUGAACGAGUGACAGAUCUCAGAGAGAUAGGCGGGUGACCAACGAAGACAAGGAUAGGAACUUCCUCAAACUCCUAGACCAGUGUGCUCUGGCCUUGACCUUUCAGCCAUCCUGUAGGACCGUUUGGAGUGAAAGCCAGUAGCCACUCUUUAUCCACAGUUUCACUUUCUGUGGUUUCAGUUACCCACAGCCAGCCACAGGAAAAAAAAUUAAAUGGGAAGUUCCAGAAAUCAAAAUUCAUAAGCCUUAAAUGGCAUACGAUUUUGAGUAGCAUGAUAAACUCUCUAGACAUGAAUGUCUUUCUUUGCCUCAGACUGCCCACACUACACACCACCCACCUGCUAGUCACUGGGAAGCCAUCUUUGUUAUCAAGUCAACUGUCAUAGUCACAUCCUUAGGUAAUGAUGUGGUAGUAACUUACUGCCAUGGCAUGGCACAUUCGUCAUUUAGCGCCCAUCUUUUCACAUAGUUAUUGUAUCAUCUCCCAUCACCAGAGGAAGGAUGGGUAUGUCUUGUUAAGGUAUUUGGGGAAUGAGAAAGAAAGAGUACAUUCACAUAGACAUAACUUUUAAUUAUGGCAUGUGUUCCAAUUGUUGUAUCUAUGUUGAAUUAAUAUUUUUCCAGUCCUAAUUUGCAAAUUACUUUUUCUAUAGUUGUAGAUACAAUCAUGAACAUCAUACCUGAGAUUUGGUGUCUUCUGCAGUGUCUUCAUCUACUGGGUAACACACACCAUGUGUGUGUGUGUUUGCUUGUGUGUACAUACAUCUGUGCAGAGGUAAUUGUCUGUCCCAAUCUAUUGCUCUCUACCUGGUUCCCUUGAGACACAUGGGUCUACAGGCACCUGCAUCUCUACCCAGCUUGUUGUUUUUCACUAGUGUUGGGGAUUUGAACUCAGGCUCAUUCUCUUACCUACUGAACUGUCUCAGCCCGACUUUUGUCCUUUGAAACUUGAGUGUAUAGGUAUGCAUUGGUUACCCCCAUGCCAAGCCUCCCAUGGACACAGUUCCUGUGCAUGGACUUCCUUAGCAAAUGGAUGCUCCUCUUAAUUCUGGUCUUUUAAUGGCAGGGUGGGCACACAGAGGGCUUGGUAGUAUAAUUAAUACUCUGAACAGCAUACAUGACAGGAAUCUGCUAGCUGUUCAGGCUCAAUUUGUGGGCUGUUCAGCUGAGGGGAUUUUCUAGUCUCUCAGAACAGGUUAAUUAAGCAAAGUUGCUGGAGGGGGCUCCCAUAGUAUGGGGAAGGGGAGGGGAAGACCACAGUAGUGUUUGAAGGCUCCAGCACUGACUGGCACCCUUACCUAGCACUGGAAGGCUCUUUGAAUCUGAAAAAGGAGCUUUUUCUUGCUUCUUGCAGCCUUGGCUCUGAUCACCUCCCUCUGUCUCACAGCCAGAGUGCUGAGUUCCUCAUGGGCCCCUGUCCUGCAACAGACGUGAGGGGACAUGGGGCUCUUCCUCCUUCCAGCAAUAGUGGAAGGAGCGUGAGUAAGGCCCCUCCUAGUCCAUGAAGAGAUGGCUCAUGGGGGAGGGAAGGACUAGAAUGAGAUGUUGGCUCUGUUUCCCAGAAUUAAUGGUCGGCUUCUGCUGAGGCUAUUUGUACUGUAAACGAAAUUAAACAAAAAGCAGAGAUGAAACAAAACAACUGAAAUGAUCAAAAAGCAUUCUGGCGGUGGGUGUAAAACAUGCUUUCUCGGCAGUGCAAGCCCAAGUGUGUGUACCCAUUGGAAAAUGGCUGCUGAGCGGUACCCGUGAGAGGUCAUUUGUCAGGGUGACAGCAGGGGCAUGUGUUUCAAGAGGAGCCUGCCAAUCCAUGCACCAGGAAUUGUCACACAUCCUAGUAGGAUGCAGUGAGUUUUACAUGUGAUGGAGGGGUCUGAAUUGAAAAUGUACACCACCGGAGAGAAAUCUGUGAAAAUUAUCAGAAGGGGUGAGUAGAAACCCAGCAAUUUUAUUACAUCAAGUAAGGGGCAAUUCUUAGCAUCCUUCUGUCGCAUCAAACAGUUUUGUGGUAGACUGGUUCUAUGGAAAGUUUUGUCUAGUUUUCCAUCUGCUGUGAUAACUGAGAUUAGUCAAGCUGCCUGCCUCCAUCUUGGGCUUUGACUUCUGUCAGCACAUCAACACUGGGUAAGGUCAGUUCUUGGGAAGAUGUACCUGAGGGGCUCUGAGGAAUGCCCUCCUUGCAUUGGGUGAGCAGACUCUGAGACGGUAAACUUCAUAUCGGAAAGACCAAACAAAGUGUACAAGCAUCUCUGUUUUCUGAGACCCUCCCUGCUCAUGUGUUCAUACCGAGACCCCUAAGAGUCAGCUCACACCACCAGGAUUGAUCACCAUUGUCUGCACUCAGGCUUGGGGUUUUGUGGACUUUCUUGAGCACACUGGUGUCCUUCUCAGGAACUGCAGAAUCUUGUGAAACCAAUUUUUCUGAAGCUGCUGCAGUCAUCCUCUCUUCAAUGCUUUUUCUUUAUUGUUUUCCUCUAGUUUUAGAACAAAAUUUAAGGCUCAACAAUGUUUUCAAAAUGACUUGAAGGAGCCGGUGAAAGGGAUCAGUUGAUAAAGGUGCUUGCCCCCAAGCCUGAUGACCUGAGUUCAACUCCCAGAAUUCACAAUAUGGAAGUGUCCCAUGAAUCUCAAGUAUCCAACUGGACAUCAAGAUUGCCUUUUCUUAUGGGGUCUGGUUGUUCUUCUGACUUUUGUGACCCUUAAAAUUUGUUGUCAUUCCUUCCAUAGUUAUCUAGAACAACCAGGUGCAUCCUCAAUUGUAGGAUUGUUUCCUUCGAAUUAAAAGAAAAAAGAUCCCUUCAAAAAAUUUUUUUUCACACAAAACCAAGAAUCCCUCCCAGGAAGGCAAUGUGGCCUUUUGUCUGGUUUUUGCCAUUGUUUUGGCCUUUUUCUCUCUCUGCACCCCUCCUGCCUUCAUCCAUCUUGCUCUUCUCCCACUUCAGCUCCUAAAUGCUUAGCAAGCCCCUCAGGAAGGGAACCCCCAGUUCUGGCUAUGCUUGCUAAUCUGCUGAUUCAGCAUGGCCGCAAGGGAGGAAAGAACACACAUCAAACUUGCUGAUGGGUUAGGACAAGCUUGUAAGAUGGAGGAAAACUGUCAGGUCCCUGCAUUUUCUGGGCGAGGGAAGGCUGCUCACAUCUGGGAGCAGAGUGCUACUGAUAAGGGAAGUCUUAUGGCUCUCUAUGGCUCUGUCGUUGUUACACAUCUGGGAGCAGAGUGCGACUGAUAAGGGAAGUCUUAUGGCUCUCUGUGGCUCUGUCCGUUGUUACCUUUGACACCAAGUUGAGCAUCUUGUGCCUGUGGGGAGGCUGCUGUCCCUGCUGUGACUGCCCUGGCACAGCUGUGGCCCUUCUGUCUGGAUUAGCAUCAAGAGGAUGUGGCCAUCCCGUGUGCCCAGCAAAACCUUCUACCCCACCUAACGGAGUUCCAGGUUUUCCCAGCUCUGUCUCCCAUAGAAUGAAGGUCGAUAGACAGGUAAAUGCACGAACACAUUUGUACAUCCCUACUCUGAUUUUGGUGCUGGAAGUGGAACUCCUGGCCUCGUUGCUUGCUUCCAUCCAGAUACAUCUUGAGCACCGAUGCAAUUUCUUUUAUGUGGAGUUUCCUUUUGCUGACUAUAUAGUUUCAAACUCUAAUGUUAAUGUAACUAAUUCCUGGCAGAUGAUGGAUUUUUUAAAGCACAAUUAAAUUAAAGCAGAUUUUCUUUUGGUAAACUAUUUUUAGUAAAAUGCAUAGGAUUAAAAAAAAACCUACCCAGUGCUAACAAUAUGUUCAAUCUGGAUGUGAAGGCACGCUGCUAAGAUCCCUGACACAUUUUGUUAGCAUCAUUUAAGUCAUGCACUGGUGUAUUACUCUGAGAACAAUUUAGCCUUGUAUAAAUAAGGAUGGCUGGCCUCUAGAUAGAUAUGCCACUUAAAGACGUCAAACUGUUAAAAAUGUGAACAGACAUUAAAUAGUAGAUAUACUAUUUGAUUCCUAUAAAAACACUAUGCAAGGGAUCAUUAUAGAACAGGAAAGAGAUGUCACGAUGGAGACCAAACCAGGCUCAGAAGACACUGAAAUGUCUGGUGUGUGCAUUUCCUCCAUCUCCUCUGGGUGGAGAGUAGUGCUGAGCAAUGGUCCCCUCCUCCCGAGUUUGCUUGGCCACCACACUGAUCCUCCAGCCCUUUUAUUUUUCCCAGAAAAGAUGGAGCCUUGAUAUGCUGUCCUGGCUGGCUUCUGAACCCUGGGCUCAAGCAGUCCUCCUAAUUCUGCUUUCUCAGUAGCUGGGACCACAGGUUCAAAGCCAUUUUUAAGUUACAGGAACUGUAGGCCCACACACCCCAAGGCAGUGUGACUGGGACUUUGCAUGCCUUACUUCAUGCUUAGCAAAGAACAGCAAGAAGGCCCCUCCUUAAAGUUGCCUAUAAAAUAGGCUCUCUUUCGUCCCUCCCCCUCCUUCCCUCCCUGCCUCCCUCUCUUCCUCCCUCCCUUCCUCUCUCCCUCCCUCCCUCUGCCCUCUCUCCAUCUCCCUGCCUCCCUCCCCCCCUCUGUCCCACUGAAGAGAAUUAUGAGUGAGAAAAUGCAACCCACUGAGAGGCAAGUCCUCACUGUAAAAUGCAAUGUUUGGCAUUCCUGACUUGAUUGAUUAUACCAGCGUCCUCCCUUCUCCCUGCCAGAAGCAUCCUCACCCCUGCCUAGGACCACAGAGCCAUCUCCACCUAGCUGCUCGCCAGACUCGUUAUCCAUUAUCCCAUUCUCUCAACAGCUGUUUCUUGCUUGCACUCCACACACCAUGAGGUGGGUUUUUUUUUUAUUUUAAGCCUUAAAAAGAGAUGUCUAUACAAUUUUCAUGAUUUCAUUCUAGGGCUAUCUCACUACAUUAUUUGACAUCACAAGUCUAAGCAGCGGCAGGCUCAGGGUAGACAGCUCAGCGAACUGGACAACAGAGGCGGGACACUGAGGUUGAGAACGGCGCAGCCCUCUCAGCCUCGUUCCAGUAGUGCCCGCUCCACGGUCAGCAUCAUGUGGGGCCUCCUGGGAAGCGGGAUGCGCAAAGCUCCUGUGUGGACAGCCAGCUGCUGUCUUCCUUCCCUUCCAGGCCACGCCAAAAAGGGAACUAGAAGGUUCUCAAAGGAGAAUGAACGGCACAGAGUUCCAUGUGCUUCCUGUUUCAAAAGACCGCACACCCUACGCAGAGAACCUGAGUGUCUCCAGUGAACAGACGAACGGAAAGCGCCCGCUCCUGCGCCAGUGCCUUCGAGGGACAGAGUCUCGUGGACUUUGAAUUAGACCAUUGGCAUUUGGAAAACGCACUCUGAGUUUAAAAAAAUCAUUCCAGAGUUUAUACAAAGGACGUAUAUCUGGAUGUGGUAACUCGUUUUCUGUCUGGUAACUUCGUGGGGGGUGGGGCACAGAAGUGAACUUGCUGAUACAUGGGCAGUGAGCGGAUGGGUUUGAAUUCCAAGUGGAUUGCUGACACAGGCCUCCCUAUCCCAACAGCUUGUGAGCUAAGGCAGGAGGGUCCCCUGAACACAGGAGUUUUUCCUCUGAAUUUGCUAAAUGCAAAUGAACUGGUCAUUAUGAAUGUAAUCCUUACCAGAUAAUGAUUCUUAUUGUUUAUAGUUUUAUUAUGUUAGAGUUGAAACCUUUCCUUUUUAUUUAGACCAAAAGAGGGAAAUGUUUUGGAAUAUUUUGUACACUGUGUAAAGAUAUGUCCCUAUGAUUGGCUUAAUAAAAAGCUAAUUGGUCCACCGCUAGACAGGAGGUAUAGGCGGGCCUUCUGGACAGAGAGAACUCUGGGAAGAAGAAAGGAGUCGCCAGCUUGACAUGUAGGAAGGGGACAGGCAAUGCAGGGUAAAGGUAACUGAGCCAUGUAAAAAAAAUACAUUAAGAAAUACGGGUUAAUUUAAGUUAUAGUAACUAGUUAGGAGCAAGCCUAAAAUAAAGCUGACUUUCAUGGUUAACAAUAAGGCAUGUCACUUUCUAUGAGCUGGAAGCCCAAAGAGAAAACCUGUUACACAGCUUGGGCAACAUAAUAAGACCCUGUAUCCAACAUAAAUAAAUCAAUCAAUAAAUAUGUAAAUACACAAAUAACUGCUAGAAAAAAAGUGAAUUGGGAUUGGAAGGUGAUUCCUUCCACAUUUUCCACUUUGAUGUUGCCUGAUGAGCCCCCCAUGGGCAGUAAUGCUGCGUAGCCUAGGAAGCGUGAGUAACAUUGUCUGCAGUUACCUCAACCUCGUACAUCUUUCCAUAGAUUCUGAAGUCCCUGCUUGAGUAGCUCGCUGCCAGGUCAAAUGUACAACCAACCCGUAUUUUGUUACUUUGGGAAAUAUAUUUUUUAAAAAGAUGUCCUUGCAAACAAACAAAAAAACCCUUGCAUCGCCACAUAUAUAACACAUGUAGUAUAGGGAUUGGGUACUGAAGUGUCAAAACCCAAAUCCUAACCCUGCCUGGUUGACAAAUUUUACAGCUGUCGCAAGGUUUUAAGCAGUACAGAUCAUUGGAGCCAAUGAGUUGAUUUGGUGAGAGGAAAUGCUAAUGAGCCUUUGCUCUGUGCAGAGGCCAGUGAGCUGGGAGCAUAGCCUGGCCUGCACCCCUCACCCUGCCAGCUGUCUCACAAAUGCUUGCCAUUGGUCACAGGGGGGACUGGGCAACCUGGGAGUGGAGACGGAUCAGCUCAAAUCCAUCAUCUCUCUGUGUGCAUCACUCAGGCGCUGGCCCUCAUCAUGACAAGCCAGCAGCAGCAUCCCCUUCCUAGCAGGGGCGCACACACUGCAACGAAGUUUGUUAUUUUUCAAGUUGUUGUGUUGGGUUUUUUUUUAAAGAAGACUCUUUUUCUCGUCCUGAAAAUAAACAUGACUGGUAAUGGU